UGCGUGAGUGUGUGUGGUGCGGUGCGUAGCUGAGGCGUGUGCGUGCUCAGGCGACGCCACGGACUGCAAGCCGACACGUCCGCGUGGUGCCUCCGGACGUCGCAGUGGCCGUGUGAUCGCCCAGGCUUUUGCCGGUCGUCGAUAAAGGUUGCUUCCUGCAAGAAUCCAGGCGAGGGCAACGAACAGUUCCAAGGUCCAUCGGCGAUUGUUGCGUGUGUAUGUGUGUGUGUCAGUUUGUGUGAACAUAACAGUCUUGGCAUUACCGUCUGCUUCGAUCCUGCCGCUGCUGGAGACUUCUUGCUGGAGGAAAAGCGUCGAUUUCUCCGGAUUACGUGGCAGACCGGCGUAGGCGUGGACGGCGCGGCAGGUUGGCAGCGCUAGUGCGCGUGCGCGCAGAGGGGGCGUGUCGCGAGUUGUGCUGUGGCGGCUCGUCUGCCCCGCGGCUUCAGCAGCGGCCGGCGGUCGCCCGCGGCGCUUCUGGACGCUCCACGGAAGGACACCCGCGCUCGCCAAAAAGGCGCAUGGCAUGAGCGCGGCGCGGUAACCAUGGCGGGCGCAGGACGGCGCCUGAGCGAGAUCGCGCGCUAGCGAUGGAGCUGUUCCGCGGGGCGGCGGGCCCGGACGGCGCGCUGCCCUC